GAUGAAGAACGUAGCGAAAUGCGAUACGUAAUGUGAAUUGCAGAAUUCAUUGAAUCAUCGAAUCUUUGAACGCAUAUUGCGCUCUCUGGUAUUCCGGAGAGCAUGCUUGUUUGAGUAUCAGUAAACACCUCAACUCCCUUUUCUUUUUUGAAAUUGGAGCUGGACUUGAGUGAUCCCAACGCUUUCUUCCAAGAAAGUGGCGGGUUGCUUGAAAUGCAGGUGCAGCUGAACUUUUCUCUGAGCUAUAAGCAUAUCUAUUUAGUCUGCCUAAAAAACAGAUUAUUACCUUUGCUGCAGCUAACAUAAAGGAGACUAGUUCUUGUGCUGACUGAUGCAGGAUUCACAGAGACAGCUUCGGCUGACUUUGUAAACUCGAUCUCAAAUCAAGUAAGACUACCCGCUGAACUUAAGCAUAUCAAUAAGCGGAGGA
rnacentral:misc_RNA from 1 species